ensembl:snRNA U6 U6 spliceosomal RNA
GUGCUUGCUUUGGCAGCACAUAUACUAAAAUCGGAACAAUACAGAGAAGAUGAGCAAGGCCCCUCUGUAAGGAUGAUAAAUUAUAUGUAAAUGUGUUGUAACAUGCAAUU